rnacentral:rRNA from 1 species
UGGGGAAUUUUGCACAAUGGGGGAAACCCUGAUGCAGCGACGCCGCGUGAUUUAGAAGGCCUUCGGGUUGUAAAAAUCUUUUCUAUGGGAAGAAAAUGACAGUACCAUAGGAAUAAGGACCGGCUAAUUACGUGCCAGCAGCCGCGGUAAUACGUAAGGUCCGAGCGUUGUCCGGAAUCAUUGGGCGUAAAGGGUACGUAGGCGGGUAAGCAAGUUAGAAGUGAAAUCCUAUAGCUCAACUAUAGUAAGCUUUUAAAACUGCUCAUCUUGAGGUAUGGAAGGGAAAGUGGAAUUCCUAGUGUAGCGGUGAAAUGCGCAGAUAGUAGGAGGAAUACCGGUGGCGAAGGCGACUUUCUGGCCAUAACCUGACGCUGAGGUACGAAAGCGUGGGUAGCAAACAGGA